rnacentral:rRNA from 1 species
UACGAGGGGAGCAAGCGUUGUUCGGAUUUACUGGGCGUAAAGGGCGCGUAGGCGGCUCUACAAGUCACUUGUGAAAUCUCCGGGCUUAACUCGGAACGGUCAAGUGAUACUGUCGAGCUAGAGUACAGAAGGGGCAACUGGAAUUCUCGGUGUAGCGGUGAAAUGCGCAGAGAUCGGGAGGAACACCCGUAGCGAAGGCGGCGCUCUGGGCCGGUACUGACGCUGAGGAGCGAAAGCGUGGGGAGCAAACAGG